rnacentral:rRNA from 1 species
CUACGUGCCAGCAGCCGCGGCAAUACGGAAGGUCCAGGCGUUAUCCGGAUUUAUUGGGUUUAAAGGGAGUGUAGGCGGUUUGUUAAGCGUGUUGUGAAAUUUAGGUGCUCAACAUUUAACUUGCAGCGCGAACUGGCGAACUUGAGUGCACACAACGUAUGCGGAAUUCAUGGUGUAGCGGUGAAAUGCUUAGAUAUCAUGAAGAACUCCGAUUGCGAAGGCAGCAUACGGGAGUGUAACUGACGCUUAAGCUCGAAGGUGCGGGUAUCGAACAGGAUUAGAUACCCUGGUAGUCCGCACAGUAAACGAUGGAUGCCCGCUGUUAGCGCCUGGCGUUAGCGGCUAAGCGAAAGCAUUAAGCAUCCCACCUGGGGAGUACGCCGGCAACGGUGAAACUCAAAGGAAUUGACGGGGGCCCGCACAAGCGGAGGAACAUGUGGUUUAAUUCGAUGAUACGCGAGGAACCUUACCCGGGCUUGAACUAACGGUGACGAAUCUAGAGAUAG